GUACCCAAUUCCAGGGUUUGGCAGCGAAGGGUAGAAACAACCAUGGCGGAGGAGAAAGUGGUUCCCUCUUCUCAUGAUGUAUCUCCGGGUGUUCCUCCUCCUCUUCCUCCUCUUCCUCCUCUCCCUGCUUCUGAUCUCGAUACUAAGGCCGUUAUUCUCGUCUCUCCCCUCGCCGCCCUUCCCCCGCCUUCGUCCUCCGCCGAUGUCCACCCUCCUACAUCUUCUCCCGCUGUGGGUUCCUUAUCCGGCCGGAAGCGCCGCCGCCGCAAGAAGCAGUUCCCGGAGAUGGUCCCCACCGCUCGGCUCCGCACCCUCCGUCCCCCCUCCACUCGCUCCUCAUCCGUGAUCUACAGCGAGAAGCUCAUCGACGAGAUGAUUCAGAUGCAGAUCAACGACUCCGGCCCCGUCCGGCGAGGCCGCGGCCGCCCACCGUCGUCCUCCCUCCGCCUUGCGCGCGAGCUCGAUGUCGAGGCGCUGACUGCCAGUGCGGUCGGUUUCCCUGUCGAUUCCCUCACCGAAGAGGAGAUCGAGGCAAAUGUGGUUCCUGUUCUUGGAGGGGCUUCGCAGGCUAACUACAUCGUCGUCCGCAACCACAUCAUCGCCAGGUGGCGAUCGAAUCCCUCGAUGUGGAUCACGGAGGCUCACUCCAUGGAGGCGAUUCGAUCAGAGCACCGAGUGCUCGUCUCUGCCGCCUACAGUUUCUUGUUAGAACAUGGCUUCAUCAACUUCGGCCUGGCCCCCUCUAUCAUCGCUGCCCCUCCAAAGCGCCUGCCAACCCUUCCCGCACCCUCCGUCCUGAUAGUUGGCGCUGGCCUCGCUGGCUUGGGAGCCGCUCGCCACCUGCUUUCAUUCGGCUUCAAGGUCGCUAUCUUUGAGGGCCGCCGUCGCCCGGGGGGACGUGUCUACACCAAAAAGAUGGAAUCUUCCUCCACCACGCCGGCUGUCGUUGCAGCUGCUGAUCUCGGUGGCAGCGUGCUCACUGGCAUCAACGGCAAUCCUUUCGGUGUUCUUGCUCGUCAGCUUGGCUUCCCACUCCACAAGAUUCGCGACUUGUGUCCUCUGUACCUCCCUGAUGGCCGACCAGUGGACACUGACAUCGACAAGAGCCUUGAAAAAGCAUUCAACCAGCUUCUUGAAAAGGUGUGCAAGUUCCGGCAUGCCAUUAUUGAUGAGCUCAAGUGCAUGGAUGCCUCCCUUGGGACUGCCCUAGAGUCCUUUCGCAAAGCUUAUGGUAUUGCUGAUUCUUUGGAGGAAAGGAUGUUACUUGAUUGGCACCUUGCCAACCUCGAGUAUGCCAAUGCCGCCCCACUCUCAGACCUCUCCAUGGACCACUGGGACCAAGAUGACCCCUAUGAGAUGGGCGGUGAUCACUGUUUCAUUCCUGGUGGCAAUGGGCGCUUCAUUCGAGCUCUUGCAGAGGGCAUUCCUAUCUUCUAUGGAAGGACAGUCAACCGAAUCCAGUAUGGAUGUGAUGGGGUGAUGGUGUAUGCUGGUGGGCAAAUUUUUCGUGGUGACAUGGCAUUAUGUACUGUUCCCUUGGGGGUUCUCAAGAAGGAAUGCAUUGAGUUUGUGCCUGAACUACCACAAGAGAAGCAAGAUGCUAUCAAAAGACUGGGUUUUGGAUUACUUAAUAAGGUUUUAAUGUUGUUUCCCCAUGUUUUUUGGGAUGGUGAGCUUGAUACUUUUGGGCACUUAACAGAGGAUUCAAGUAAUCGUGGUGAAUUCUUUCUGUUCUAUAGUUAUUCCUCAGUUGCAGGAGGACCACUUCUCGUUGCCCUUGUUGCAGGGGAGGCUGCUACUAAAUUUGAGAGAACAUCUGCGCAGGAAAAUGUUGAGAGGGUAUUGGAAGUUAUUAGGGAAAUUUUUUUGCCCAAGGGGAUCAAGGUCCCAAAGCCUCUUCAGGUGAUAUGCACUAGAUGGGGUUCGGAUAAGUUUACUUAUGGAUCAUAUUCUUAUGUUGCUAUUGGAUCUUCUGGGGAUGAUUAUGACAUUUUGGCCGAGAGUGUGGGCAAUGGAAGGGUAUUCUUUGCUGGUGAGGCAACCAAUAGGAGGUAUCCCGCUACCAUGCAUGGAGCUUUGCUUAGUGGUUUCAGGGAAGCAGCUAAUAUAGCUAGGGCUGCUAGGAAGCGGUCAAUAUUUCCAGUCAUGAAUGUAGUGGAUGUGAAAGAAGAUAUGUCAAAUUUGGACAAUUUCUUUCAAACACCGGACCUCUCUUUUGAGCAAUGAAGAAGCCAGAAAUGUUACCAUUUUCUUUUGCUUACCAUGGGGAGUUGCAAGUGAUGCCAGCUACUACCCUAUAUGGUAAGAGUAACCUUUUAGUCUUUGCCCUAUAGAGGUGAGGUAAUGACAGAAGUGCCUACACAUUUUACUUAUUUGUUUCAAUGAGUAUUAGCUUCAUGCAGUAACUCUUAGGAAGGAUGCUAGAAAUUGCAACUUGAUGGCAUGUAUCAUCUUUCUUCUUUCAAUAGACAUUAAAAUCGGAUGGUUGGGUUGUCAGUGUCUCAUCUAUACCAUUUAAGUUUACUAGAAAUUUACUGCCAUCAGUUUAUAGAAGAUUCUGAAGAAGCUUUCAAAUUUUGGUGGUUCCUAAAUUGCUAAGGUUUGUUUGCAUAUUACUGUAUCCUCCUCAGUCCUUAAAAUUUCGUUCAUUCUGCUAUAAUAAAAUUAAAUAAUUUAUAUUUGCAAAUUGUAAACACCAUUUUUUUUCAUGGCAAAUGUUGUCUUGUGCUAUGACUAUGCUUUGUUUAGUAAUAAAAGCAAAUCUCUCAUUUUUGUUUAGUCAUGUGUAGCAAUUUGUGCACUGAAGCUGCAACUUCUCCUGUUGUCAUCUUUGUUAGACUGAUGUGACAACUAGAGGGGGAGGGGGUGAAUAGCCAUAAACCAGAAAUUGACAAACUUAAAUUUUGAUAUUAAGGUUAGCUGCACAACAGAAAUAAGAAUGCAACAAUAAGAACAACAAUGCUAAUUUUAAGAAAGUACGUGGUUUGGAAUUGCCAAGAUCUUACUUUGAUUUGUAAGGUAAGGCAAUCCUCAAAUCCCACUAUCUUUUUUCCUUCCGGAGGUAGAGAAAUCUCUUUCAAAACUCCAUUACAUAUAAAUAACUCACAUUCUUUGUUGUUAUUAUUGGAUCUCAACCAUGUCAUAGUCUCGCAACAUUGUUACCAUUAUGGUCGCUACCAUGCCUUCUUAUUGCAUUCUCGAUCCAUGACUACUUGACCCAAAUAUUGUCUUAGCUAAGGUUACUAUCCUUCUUUUGUAGCAAAAGAUGAUUACGCUCACCUCAAGUGCCCCUCAGAGACGUGUCCCAGGCUAUGUGAAGGGAGGUAAAUCACAUAGUCUACUUAUAGACGACCGCCAAGUGGCUAAGGGGUGAGAGAAGUUUUUUGCCAAGGACAUGCACUCGAUGAGAAUUGAUCCUUGUCCCAUUGUAGCAAAUCUGCCCCAUUAUAGUUGAUCGUCAAGUAGCUAGGGGUUACUAUCCUUCUUUCUCUGUACACAUAGUGCCUUUGUCACUAUUGUUGAUUGCUCUAAUUGCUAUCAAAAUGUCUUCAAGUAUGUGUGCCCUUGUAGGUUUGUGCAACAUUAAACUCAUUAUUGCUUGUCCUUGUUCUUCAUCUAUGCUUGGCUAUUAUGUAUUAUAUUUGUAAUUUUCUCUUUAACAUUACUAUCGUUCCCUUGCCAUAAGUGGUCACCAGAGCAAUAAUUUUGACAUGACAACACAUGAGGGCCGCAUGAAAGUUUCCUCACUUCCUAAGUGAGAAUCAACUAUACCUUAAAAGAACUACAUACAAGUAUAUAUUUUCCCAUGACUAGAAACUUGUGAAGUUAUAGAAAAAAGUCAUAAAGAAAAUUUACUUUCAGAAUCAACUAUAAGUUCUUACCCUACUAGUAACAAAAAAUAGGAGACAAGCACAAAGAGAAAUUGCCAAAACUUGAAAUUCUCAACCCACCAAAACCUAAAAACCACAUAGGGUUGGAGCAGCUAUAGGAUGAUCAGUAUGGAAAACUAAAUUUCAUAGAAAUCUACAUCAUGGAGAUGAUAGUUUAAGAUUCAUAGAAAUCAAAGAGAAAGAACAUGUAUUAUUAAGGUGAUAGUUUAGGAUUUUUCAUAGAAAUUAAGAGGGAGCAUAUUUAUCAUGAAGAUGAUAGUUGAAGUUAGAAUUUUAUAUAUAUACUUUUUAAAGUGCCUAGAUUAACAUCUAACUAGAUUGUAACCUGUGUGAUGCACUCUAGGUGGUGUGUCAAUGGAUUGGACAAACAUAUUUUACUCAAGUAGACGAAAUGUAUGUUUGAACAUUAUAAAUGUCAUUCAUCGCUUUUGCAUUAUCUUAGAUCAUAAUUUACAUCCUACAGAGACAUAUACACUGCUACUCCAGCUUCAAUGAUAUCAGCCAGUCAAUCAUAGACAUGGUGCCAGGUGAAAUGCAAGUUUCAUUCUCAAGAUUUCAAAACUUCUUUACUUGUUUCUCCCAAGUAUUCACCAUACUGAGCUUGCUUUUCGUUAAAUGGUUGUUGACUAUUGUAGUAUUCUUGUUUUCGAGAUUACAAAGUGGUUUGCAUUCCAAACAAUCGUUUUAACUCAUAAGAUCCUUUGUUCUAACUGGUAAAAUGACUGCUGCCAGGGACGCCAAUUCAUCUGUGAUGCACAUGAUGGCUAUAUUAUCUUUGUUCCAAACCAGAUGCUUUCCUUUUCCUCAUAAAUCCGGAGUGGUUUAUCAAAACUAUAGAUGGUUUUCUUCUCUAAUCACAUUGAUGUAUGAGAUCUUUAGCUUGUCAAGUUCUUUCAUAGGUUACUUCAAGUGUUUUAUCUCGCACUGGUGGGAUUUUCAUGUAUGGGGCUGCUUUUAUUAUCAUUUAUACUAGUGAAAUUAAUGGCUAAUUAUUUACAAAUGUGGAAGAAGGAGAAGGCAAUACAAAGUUGGGUCUAAA